rnacentral:rRNA from 1 species
AAAAAAGCAUUAAAGGGCGUUUGGUGGAUGCCUUGGCGUUAAUAGGCGAUGAAGGACGUAAUAGGCUGCGAUAAGCCUCGGGUAGCUGUCAAUAAGCUUUGAUCCGAGGAUUUCCGAAUGGGGAAACCCACUCUUAACAGAGUAUCUUUAACUGAAUUCAUAGGUUAAAGAAGCGAACCUAGUGAACUGAAAUAUCUAAGUAGCUAGAGGAAAAGAAAUCAACCGAGAUUCCGUCAGUAGUGACGAGCGAACGCGGAAUAGACCAGUUUUAUUUAUGUAAAAAUUAGAACAAGUUGGAAAGCUUGGCCAUAGUGGGUGAUAGCCCCGUAUAAGUAAAAAGCGUAAAUAAACUAGAGUAGGGCGGGACACGUGAAAUCUUGUCUGAAUAUGGGAGGACCACCUUCCAAGUCUAAAUACUAAUUAACGACCGAUAGUGAACAAGUACCGUGAGGGAAAGGUGAAAAGAACCCCGAUAAGGGGAGUGAAAUAGACACUGAAACCGAAUGCCUACAAGCAGUUAGAGCCCGAAUACUCUUUUAAAUUUUUAUUCAUGUCAUUCUAAAAUUGUUAAAGACAAAAACAUAAAUCUAAGAAGUAAGUAUAAAUACUUAUUCAAAUUUCUUAGAUCUUUAUAAAUCUUAAUAAUGGCAAAAAUAUAAGAAUUUAAAUGAGUAUUUGGGUGAUAGCGUACCUUUUGUAUAAUGGGUCAGCGAGUUAGUUUGUUGUGCGAGCUUAAGCCGUUAGGUGUAGGCGUAGCGAAAGCGAGUCUUAAUAGGGCGUUUAGUACAGCGAAUUAGACCCGAAACCGGAUGAUCUAGCCAUGGCCAGGUUGAAGGUUGAGUAACAUCAACUGGAGGACCGAACACACUAAUGUUGAAAAAUUAGGUGAUGAGCUGUGGCUAGGGGUGAAAGGCCAAUCAAAUCCGGAUAUAGCUGGUUCUCCACGAAAUCUAUUUAGGUAGAGCGUCAUAUGUUUACCAACGGGGGUAGAGCACUAUCUAGGCUAGGGGGUCCAAAAGACUUACCAAACCUUAAUAAACUCCGAAUACCGUUGAGUAUAGUAUGGCAGACAGACAGCGGGUGCUAAGGUCCGUUGUCGAGAGGGAAACAGCCCAGACCGUCGUCUAAGGUCCCAAAAUUAUUACUAAGUGGGAAAGGAAGUGAGAGGGCCAAAACAACCAGGAGGUUGGCUUAGAAGCAGCCAUCCUUUAAAGAAAGCGUAAUAGCUCACUGGUCUAAAUAAGCCUUCUUGCGCCGACAAUGUAACGGGGCUAAAGUAAUAUACCGAAGACACGGGUUUGUAGAAAUUUAUUUCUAUAAGCGGUAGUGGAGCGUUGUGUAAGCCGUUGAAGGUGAAUCGUGAGGUUUGCUGGAGGUAUCACAAGUGAGAAUGCUGACAUGAGUAACGAUAAAACGGGUGAGAAACCCGUUCGCCGAAAAUCUAAGGUUUCCUGCGUCAAGCUAAUCUUCGCAGGGUUAGUCGGUACCUAAGGCGAGGCCGAAAGGCGUAGUCGAUGGAAAUUGGGUUAAUAUUCCCAAACCUGAGGGUGAGUGACGGAGCUUCCAAGAUUGUAUUUCCUUAUUGGAUUGGAGAUGCUUUUUUGUGGCUUCCAGGAAAUAGCCCCCUCGUAAAAGGCCGUACCAAAACCAACACAGGUAGAUGGGUUGAGUAUACUAAGGCGCUUGAGAGAACUGUACUGAAGGAACUAGGCAAAUUGCAUCCGUAACUUCGGGAGAAGGAUGGCCUUACUUUGGGCAACCUAAGUAAGGUGGCACAGAAAUGGGGGUAGCGACUGUUUAUCUAAAACACAGGGCUCUGCUAAAUCGUAUAGAUGAUGUAUAGGGUCUGACGCCUGCCCGGUGCUGGAAGGUUAAUUGAUGAUGUGCAAGCAUUUGAUCGAAGCCCCAGUAAACGGCGGCCGUAACUAUGACGGUCCUAAGGUAGCGAAAUUCCUUGUCGGGUAAGUUCCGACCUGCACGAAUGGCGUAACGACUUCCCCACUGUCUCCAGUACAGACUCAGUGAAAUUGAACUUGCCGUUAAGAUGCGGUAUUCCUACGGUUAGACGGAAAGACCCCGUGCACCUUUACUAUAGCUUUACACUGAAUUUAGAACUAAGAUGUGUAGGAUAGGUGGGAGACUUUGAAGCUUUGGCGCUAGCUAGAGUGGAGUCAUCCUUGAAAUACCACCCUUCUUAUUUUUAAAUUCUAACCAUAAUGUCUUAUCGACAUUUGGGACAUUGUAUGGUGGGUAGUUUGACUGGGGCGGUCGCCUCCUAAAGAGUAACGGAGGCGCACAAUGGUAAGCUCAGACUGGACGGAAAUCAGUUUAUAGAGUGUAAUGGCAUAAGCUUGCCUGACUGCAAGACCUACAAGUCGAGCAGAGACGAAAGUCGGUCAUAGUGAUCCGGUGGUUCUGUGUGGAAGGGCCAUCGCUCAACGGAUAAAAGGUACGCCGGGGAUAACAGGCUGAUGAUUCCCAAGAGUUCAUAUCGACGGAAUCGUUUGGCACCUCGAUGUCGACUCAUCACAUCCUGGGGCUGAAGAAGGUCCCAAGGGUUCGGCUGUUCGCCGAUUAAAGUGGUACGUGAGUUGGGUUCAGAACGUCGUGAGACAGUUCGGUCCCUAUCUGCCGUAGGUGUUUGGAAAAUUGAGAGGAGCUGACUCUAGUACGAGAGGACCGAGUUGGACAUACCAAUGGUGGACCAGUUGUUUCGCCAGAAGCAUAGCUGGGUAGCUAAGUAUGGAAAGGAUAACCGCUGAAAGCAUCUAAGUGGGAAGCCUCCCUCAAAACUAGUUUUCCCUAUAGGGCCGUGGUAGACUACCACGUUGAUAGGCCGGGUGUGUAAGCAUAGCGAUAUGUUCAGCUUACCGGUACUAAUAACCCAAUUGGCUUUUUUAA